UAGGGAAUCUUCGGCAAUGGACGAAAGUCUGACCGAGCAACGCCGCGUGAGUGAAGAAGGUUUUCGGAUCGUAAAACUCUGUUGUUAGAGAAGAACAAGGACGUUAGUAACUGAACGUCCCCUGACGGUAUCUAACCAGAAAGCCACGGCUAACUACGUGCCAGCAGCCGCGGUAAUACGUAGGUGGCAAGCGUUGUCCGGAUUUAUUGGGCGUAAAGCGAGCGCAGGCGGUUUCUUAAGUCUGAUGUGAAAGCCCCCGGCUCAACCGGGGAGGGUCAUUGGAAACUGGGAGACGUGAGUGCAGAAGAGGAGAGUGGAAUUCCAUGUGUAGCGGUGAAAUGCGUAGAUAUAUGGAGGAACACCAGUGGCGAAGGCGGCUCUCUGGUCUGUAACUGACGCUGAGGCUCGAAAGCGUGGGGAGCAAACAGG
rnacentral:rRNA from 2 species